UAAUACCCUAUAGAUUACAGAUGCUGGAAUGCCCUGUAAUCAAAAGUUCCGACGCCUUAGGAUGGAUCUGCGGCCGAUUAGGUUGUUGUUGGGGUAAUGGCCCAACAAGCCAGUAAUCGGUACGGGUUGUGGGAGCAAGAGCCCGGAGUUGGAUUCUGAGACACGAAUCCAGGCCCUACGGGGCGCAGCAGGCGCGAAAACUUUACAAUGCGGGCAACCGUGAUAAGGGAACCUCGAGUGCCUGUAUACGCAGGCUGUCCAGGUGCCUAAAACACACCUGAAGAAAGGGCCGGGCAAGACCGGUGCCAGCCGCCGCGGUAAUACCGGCGGCUCGAGUGGUGGCCGCUUUUAUUGGGCUUAAAGCGUUCGUAGCUGGUUUGUUAAGUCUCUUGGGAAAUCUGGCGGCUUAACCGUCAGGCGUCUAAGGGAUACUGGCAAUCUUGGAACCGGGAGAGGUGAGGGGUACUUCGGGGGUAGGAGUGAAAUCCUGUAAUCCUCGAGGGACCACCUGUGGCGAAGGCGCCUCACCAGAACGGCUUCGACAGUGAGGGACGAAAGCUGGGGGAGCAAACCGGAUUAGAUACCCGGGUAGUCCCAGCCGUAAACGAUGUGCGUUAGGUGUAU
rnacentral:rRNA from 1 species